AUAUAGGCUUUUUUAAAAGUCACAAACUCCAGGUCUAAAGUGAUUU
rfam:Pongo abelii chromosome 4.